rnacentral:rRNA from 1 species
UACGUAGGGGCCAAGCGUUGUCCGGAUUUAUUGGGCGUAAAGAGCUCGUAGGCGGUUCUGUAAGUCGAGUGUGAAAAAUCUGGGCUCAACCCAGUGGAGCACUCGAUACUGCAGUGACUGGAGUCCGGUAGGGGAGUGUGGAAUUCCUGGUGUAGCGGUGAAAUGCGCAGAUAUCAGGAGGAACACCAACAGCGAAGGCAGCACUCUGGGCCGGUACUGACGCUGAGGAGCGAAAGCGUGGGGAGCGAACAGG